AAAAGAGCAGAAUGUAGAAUAAUGCACAGCUUCCUCAUGACACUGAACACCGUGACUUUCUGAAAAUAUGAACAGUUUGGCCUUUUUACAUCAGUCUUGUACUGAUCAAUUCAUUUUUAUCUGCAGACGUGCACGAUGGAUUCAUCCAUGGCACUGAUAAUUGCGAUCACAGCCACAGCAGGGUUCUCCACAGGAUUAAUUAUCGGUGGAGUCAUCGGUAUUGUGGCCACUCUGAUCUUCUACUUAUGGAAAAACAGAGGAAACUCUCCAGGACAGCAGAAUCCCCCUGAUCCUGCGAUCAGAACAGUACCCCUGCCACAGCAGGUCUGGUUUGAGGAACGGCACUCCGCUGUACCACUGGUACACUUUGAUGUACCAAUCAGACGACUAACUCAACAACAUAAGAUUAGAGAAAUUAAAUGAAGUACCUGAAAUGUAAACUGUAAACAAGGAACAGAAGACUCUGGGUUUUUCAGUGUAUCUGAUUACAUCAUUAAAUCAUUCUUUAGCCUAACAUAAAGUAACCUAAAGGUCUGAUGAUAAACUAUUUGCUUUAUAAUUGAGACUGUAAUGUGGGAAUAUUAAUGGACUUUCAGAUUCUGUGGAAACAACCAUUCUGAUUUAACUGAAAUGUACUUCUUUUUCUUUUACUUGAUUGUAAGAGACUAUAUUUUAAUCAAGCUAUUAAAUGUGUUAUUCUCUCUUCAUCUCAGUGAAGAUUAUUACAAACAACACUGAUAGAAAUUUCCAUUUCUUCUUCCUCUUCCUCUUCUUC
ensembl:lncRNA